GCAUCGGUAGGGUAUCGGAAUCCUGCAGCCUCCCUGUUCUGUAUCUGCCACCCUGGUUCAGGCCGAGCGCGGGGUUCGACUCCCCGUCGAUGCA